GGAAUGGGAAUUGACAAACCUGACGUGC
rnacentral:piRNA from 1 species